rnacentral:rRNA from 1 species
AUCCACGCCUUAAACGAUGAUUACUCGAUGUGUGCGAUACACAGCACGCGUCCUAGCGAAAGCGUUAAGUAAUCCACCUGGGGAGUACGAUCGCAAGGUUGAAACUCAAAGGAAUUGACGGGGGCCCGCACAAGCGGAGGAGCAUGUGGUUUAAUUCGAUGAUACGCGAGGAACCUUACCUGGGCUUGAAAGUUAGUGACCGUCUGUGAAAGCAGACUUUCCGCAAGGACACGAAACUAGGUGCUGCAUGGCUGUCGU